rnacentral:lncRNA from 1 species
AUACAUCCAAACACUCGAACCUCGCAAUUUGCAAAGGUCCAGUGUGUUACACCUUUACUUUAAGCUAUCUUUAGCUUUCACAUUCUUUAACUUUACACAUUCUUUAUGCCCCACUUUACAUUAGCUUUAUUCAUUAAUAUCAUUCUUUACCUCGCAUUAUUUCUUUGCUUCACACUAACUCUAGUGUCACUUUACUUUACAUUUUCAAAUGCCACUCGAGCUAU